rnacentral:sRNA from 1 species
GGAGAGAGUCUGAGCCUAAAAUAAAAGAGAGUGAGGAAGAAGAGCUGCUGGGGCUGAAGGCGGAGGCCAGGAUCAAAGGAAGCAAAGAGGAGUGUCUGGUUCAGAGGGAAGUGGGAACAUAUGGAGGAGAAAGAGAAGACUUGGUAACGUGUUGACAGAGGACACUUGGAUAUUGGGAGAAAAGCUGUGACUGGGAGCUCAUAAGGAAAUGUUUGAGAAAAGGAUGGAGGAUGGGCUAGAAGGAUUUAGUCUGACACAUGAUGGGGUGUAUGAGAUGCAGAAUUGCAGCAGGAUAAAGGGUAGAUUUUGAGGGUUGUGGAAGAAGGUGCAGACUGAAGUGGGCAAAAUUUCUGAAAGAGGAGCCUGAAGAAUAAAGGGCUCCCAAGUAACAAAAGCAGGAGAGGAGAUAAGAAAGAAGUGAGAAAAAACGUAAGAAGCCACAUGCCAUGAUGGUGAUUGUGUUUGUUGAUCUCUGCCAUCCCGAGAUCAUCACUCCUAGCCUCCUCUGGAAACUCUCUGAGAGCCGGGGAAUCGUCUCUUUCAUAAGAGGACUGCACAGGCACGAGGUCAUACUUGGGCAGUUUUUGGCUUUGUGAAAAUCUCUCAGAUUGCACCGCACAGUAUACAAAUGAUGAACCAGACAACCACAUUCGUUCUUUGGAUUGCAUUUUCUCCUGGGAUAUCAGACACAUUUCACCAGGGCCACAGAAAGAAAAAUGAAGACCAAGAUACCGUGACAAAUGCCAACUACCUCGU